rnacentral:misc_RNA from 1 species
UACGAAGGUGGCAAGCGUUGUUCGGAUUUACUGGGCGUACAGGGAGCGUAGGCGGUUAGGUAAGCCUCUCGGGAAAUCUCCAGGCUCAACCUGGAAAGUUCGGGAGGGACUGCCUGGCUAGAGGACGGGAGAGGAGCGCGGAAUUCCCGGUGUAGCGGUGAAAUGCGUAGAGAUCGGGAGGAAGGCCGGUGGCGAAGGCGGCGCUCUGGAACGUUCCUGACGCUGAGGCUCGAAAGCGUGGGGAGCAAACAGG